AACGAACGCUGGCGGCAUGCCUAACACAUGCAAGUCGAACGAGACCUUCGGGUCUAGUGGCGCACGGGUGCGUAACGCGUGGGAACCUGCCCUUAGGUUCGGAAUAACUCCCCGAAAGGGGUGCUAAUACCGGAUAAUGUCUUCGGACCAAAGAUUUAUCGCCUUUGGAUGGGCCCGCGUUGGAUUAGCUAGUUGGUAGGGUAAAAGCCUACCAAGGCGACGAUCCAUAGCUGGUCUGAGAGGAAGAUCAGCCACACUGGGACUGAGACACGGCCCAGACUCCUACGGGAGGCAGCAGUGGAGAAUAUUGGACAAUGGGCGAAAGCCUGAUCCAGCAAUGCCGCGUGAGUGAUGAAGGCCUUAGGGUUGUAAAGCUCUUUUACCCGGGAUGAUAAUGACAGUACCGGGAGAAUAAGCUCCGGCUAACUCCGUG
rnacentral:rRNA from 1 species